AAGUCGUAACAAGGUUUCCGUAGGUGAACCUGCGGAAGGAUCAUUAACACUUUUUAUUAUUUUGUUUUUUUUUCUAAAACAAAAUUUAAAACCCCACAAUUUUGGAUGAAUUUAAUUAAUUUAUUUUUUAUUUUAUUUUUUUUUAUUAUAACCCUAUUAUUUGACUAACAUUUUUAUUUAAUUAUUAAAAAAUUAAAAAAACAACUCUUAACAACGGAUAUCUUGGCUCUC
rnacentral:misc_RNA from 1 species